rnacentral:rRNA from 1 species
GGGGGUGCAAACGUUGCUCGGAAUUAUUGGGCGUAAAGCGCGCGUAGGCGGCUACUUAAGUCGGAUGUGAAAGCCCCUGGCUCAACUGGGGAAGUGCACCCGAAACUGAGUGGCUUGAGUGCGAAAGAGGGUCGCGGAAUUCCCGGUGUAGAGGUGAAAUUCGUAGAUAUCGGGAGGAACACCGGUGGCGAAGGCGGCGACCUGGGUCGACACUGACGCUGAGGCGCGAAAGCGUGGGGAGCAAACAGGAUUAGAUACCCUGGUAGUCCACGCCGUAAACGAUGGGUGCUAGAUGUUUCUGGUAUUGACCCCGGAGGCGUCGUAGCUAACGCGUUAAGCACCCCGCCUGGGAAGUACGGCCGCAAGGCUA